rnacentral:snoRNA from 1 species
UAGAAAAAAAGCAGGGAUCAUUUCUAUAGUUUGUUACUAGAGAAGUUUCUCUGAAUGUAGAGUGCCUGAAACCAUGGGGGGGGGGGGGGUGCAGUGUUCUCUCCUGAGCGUGAGGUUGGCUGUAGGUGUUGUUCCUCCCACCCACCGUCUAUUGCCAUUGAUGAUUGUUCUUGUCCUCUGUGGGAAUAAGAGGGAGAGGAUGCAGUUUGGGUGGA